ensembl:lncRNA
GCAGGUUUAAAAUAUACACUAUUUUUAUUUAUUUUUUUAUUUUUUAUUAGCGCAAUAUAGCCGAUUUUUGUCCCGUUAUGUUUUAAGCCAAAUAAUCUGACAAAUGUGUGUAGGCCUAAUCUGCUUUAAUCCGAUUGUAUUCACACGCCUAGUUUAGCCUACUUAGAUUCUUUCUCUUUAUUCAGUGUCAAUAAAUGUGACAUAAUUAUUAAAUCGCCCCCAAAUAAAACCCACAUAUUUAUGAAAUGCAUGCUUGUUCUAUUUGCGACAUUUCAUGCAUUAUAAAUAUAUAAUAAUAAUAAUAAUAAUAAUAAUAAUAAUAAUAAUAAUAAUAUAGGGUACAUAUAUUAGGACAAAUUUCGCAGAAGUGAGAAGGGAGAGUUACAAAAAAUAGUUUCUUUAUUUAUUUAAAUACAAAAGUGUGUACAAUAUUGUUAGGUCUUUUAAGCUAUUCACCGUUCAAAAAAAAUCUUGCUAAAUUUACAGAAUCUUAAAGUAUAAUUUAUGGCAUGAGAACAACAAAAUAAUAAAUACAAACAAAUCAAAUCCGAAGAUGUUUUGUUUAAUACACAUCUAGUGUAUUGCAAGAUGUGCAAAUCAUUUCCUUUUUUUUUUUUAUUUUUUUUUUUUAAAGUGUGUAAACCUUUAAGAAAUUAGAUUUGUGCACAUGAGCGUGUUUUAGUAGUCUGGCUUUAACAAAUUCUCUCAAAAACAUUCUACAGUGUUUCAAGCGUUUUCUGAUGCUGAAAUAUUUUCCUUCUCAGACAUUUUUACAUCAUAGCAGUUUGGACAUUUUUUCCUGCACAUCAGUAAAAGGCAAGGCGUGAAAUAACAUCAUGUACACCGUGUGAAAUGAUGAAGCUGAUGUAAACAGUAGCCUACAUUUCAGGUGAGGAUUGUGUAGUUUGUGCGGAAAGACGCAGAAGUGUGAACCAGCAGCAACAGAUGUCCAUGCACAAUUCUCGAUUUACAACUCGACAGUCACAAGAAUUGCGUUUGGACAAUCAGUAGCUCAGGCUCAUAUACACCGCAAAGACAGCACUCUUAAACCAAAAGCAUUCACAAGCACAUUUCCAUGGGUUAUUAGGAAGAUUCCUUGACACAGCAUGGAAGUAAAAACAGGCCUAUAGAGACCCUAUCUGCAAUAGGUAAUAUAGCUAGGUAAAUGGCUAUUUUUUUUGUAAAAAAAACAAAACAAAACAACAAAAAAAAACAUUAUUCUGUUCAUUCAUUAUCUAAAAAAUAAAAAAAUCCAUCUUGUAUUAUUAUUAUUAUUAUUAUUAUUAUUAUUAUUAUUAUUAUUAUUAUUCGUUUCCCAAAAUCCUGCUGAAAUAACUGAAAAUUACUUUUUUGAAAAUUUAUAUUAAAAAAUGAUAUAUAAAUAGCCUAUAGGCUAUAUUUAACACAACCUAAAAUAUUAUUUACGCACUGUAGGGUUUUGACGCAAAUCCUAAUCCAGUUCUAACUAAUUGUUUCCUGUGGAAGAAUAUAUCAUCAUAAAAUCAUAAUAAUAAUACAUUAAAAAAAAAAAAAAAAAAAAAAAAAAAAAGGAUUUUGACUCUGCAUAUGAGAUUUGGUGAUUUUUUACCAAGCGAAUUCGUUUCCGUGGAACCCAACCAUGCAUUUCGUUCUCGUCGACCCAUUUAUUCUUUACGAAAUAUGAACACGGUGGAUAAAAAGCUGAGUGGAGAUGAUUGUUAAAAUGCUAUACUGAGCAUCCCAUGUGUCGGUGCUGCAGCGUCGCGAGCCGUUAGCCGUUAGCAUCUAGCACCGGAGAGCCGUUCGCCAUUUCUGCACCUGUUAAAGAUGCUCAGUGUCUCUGUCAGCACAGCAAAGCCUGUUUCCCCGGUUCUCCAGCACGCGCCCGAAAUUCCUUGAGGCGUCGAAAUCAGAUCCUUAUCUCUAAAUCAUCUGGUGCCGUGAGACCGGGCAGAGGGGCAGAGUAGGGGGGAAAAGUUCUUCAGCGCAUUCCAGGUAAAAAAAAAAAAAAAAAAUGCGUUAGUGCUCGGUGUGUAGGCUGGAAGUGGAACAGCACAGAGUUAUCCCAGACUGAAGGAGCUCCCUUGCACGAGGCGAGCUAUAAAGCAACAGGAGAAAGCAGCGCGAGCGGAUCCGUUUCAAAGGACGCCAAAGAGACUUCCGACGUUGACGCGCGCGCGCGCACGCGAGAGAGAGAGAGAGAGAGAGAGAGGCGCUGGUGCUCGCAUGGUACGAGCUUUCAAUGACACCAUUAAAAUGGCCAUUGUCAGGAAGAAGGGCUGAAGCUGCUCUGUUUCAUUGAGAGCCGCAGCUGCCCCUUAAAGCCACAGAGCAAUUACAAUCCAGCACUGUACACUCGGUGCCAAUUACGCAUUGUGCAGCGCGGUGACGUUUGCCUCUGCUUCUGCGCCCCGUACAAAAGGAUUACCUGACACUUCCUCCACAAAGAGAGCUGUUCUUUAACAGUUUGU